GGAGAGAAUGAGCUUGGAGCCGCAGGGCUUAAUCCCGCGCGGCUCAGAGAUGGGUUUCUGGACUCGCGAAGCAGCUGCAACAAGGCAUCACUCACUGUAUAAGUAUUUCCAUUUCUGAGAGCAAAAGGAAGAACUUAAGCGGGCGGCACUUGGAGUGUAAAUUGCUUUGUAGUAUUUAAAGGCAGAAUGGAUCCUGGGCAGCCGAGCUGCAACAAACCGGCAGGACUUCCUGUGAAAUCAUGACCACCAUGUGCUCUUUCAGCCUCUAUCAGUUCCUACCUCUAAGCACCUGAGAGCCAAAGCAAACCACAGGAAACCACAGACUCAAACUAAACGUCAGCUUUUCCCGGCUCUCAAGCCUGCUGGUCCCUGAACUAAAACUCACAUUAUCAACUCUACUGGUUCUUAGGCCUUUGGAGUCAGACUGGAACUACAGCAUUGACUCUUCCGGAACUCCAGCUUACUGACUACAGAUCUUGGAACUUUUCAGCUUCCACAACCAUAAUGAAAGCCAAGCAUAUUCCAUCAUUUCCUAAAACCAAGAUAGAGCACAUAUGGGAACUUGUGAAAUAAGGAUGCCCUGCGGUUGUUUUCAGGACUGAAGACAACAGCUCCACGAUGUAUCUUUGCAUAAGAAUACACUUGUAUAAUAAGUUUUUUUUUUUAGAGAAAUUGCAUGUAUCUGCCUUAUAAACUUUUUCAUUCAUUCAUUUUCUUUCUUCCUAAUCUGUUCCAUAAAGCAAAUUUCUAACUUAUUGUUAAUCAAAAUAAUUAUUGAAAUAAUUAGUACUUUCAUAUGAUAAAGAUUAUUUUAAUCUGCAGCUACAAAAUAUGUAACUCAUUAAUAUUUAAACAAUCACAAUUUUCUAUUAACAUUAUAGCAUUUUAUCUACUACUAGAUCAGGAAUUAGCUAUUUUUUGUAAAAUUUCUUUGUAAGGCAAAGCAAUAGUAUUGUAUAUACUUUCCUAAAGAUUGUCAAGUUCAGUUUUGCUUAAAUUUAACAGUACAUGUGACACUUUCUGUUUGAAGAAUAAGUUGGUUUUAAGUUUAUACCAAACAAAAGCAUCUCUUUUGUUUUGCAAAAUCUGAAACUUUGAUCUUUCUAGUUGUGACUUCUUGUAAAUAUGUUUUAUAUAAAUAUUCUAUGAAUUGGUUAUUAACAAGGUAAAGAAAGAUUGAUAUGUAAGCUGAUUCUUAAACAUUAAUUUUCUGGAGAUAAACUUUUUUAAAAUUAUGCUUUAAAAAUAUUUUAACACAUGUUAUCAAAAAGGAACUGAAAUAUCUUAGGCAUAAAAGACAUCUCUAGAGGUCAUUAUUCAGUUUCCAGAAAGUACUGAAACUAUCUCUGACAGAUUGAUACGUUUUCUGCAUUUAUAGCUCUCUGGAGAGAGGUUCUGUAUAUUUAACAAUUCUCACUGUGAGGGAUAUUUUAAGUAUUUCAAAUUUAAAGUGCUCAUGUUUCAGAUUCAGAUUAUUAUUAUCAUCAUCAUUAUUUUGGUUCUGGCUUCAGUAAAAAUGUGAAAAACA
rnacentral:lncRNA from 1 species